AAGGGACGGAAUCAUGGGGCUGGGUUUACACCAGCUAUGCGAAGCCCCUCCGCUCUGCCCCCGCCUGUGAGGGGCUUUCUUGGCUGGGUCUGUUCCUGACAGAAGGGAUGCGUGUUGUCGGGGGUGGGGGGCUUGGCAUGUGUGUGUGUGUGUGUGUGUGGAGAGAGAGAGAGUAUGUGUGUGUGUGUUUAAAAUACAGAAAAAAGAAGCAUGGCUUUCCUCAGCUGCAGAGGCGGGCCGGGUUCUGUCCGUGCCAACUCCCUCAGAGCGGGCACCGUGGGGACACAGGAGGCACAGGAAGACUGCAGAGGUGAGGGACGGGUGUGGAGAAAGAUGGACGCUUGCCAUCUCGAGUGCCAGCGGCUGCAUGAGGCCAAACCCCACGAACAAAACCCACAGCAGAUCGCUGCCAGCCCAUGUUAGGAGACGGAAGACAGUUGGCAGCGCUGCCGCAGCCUGGGAGCAGGCGGAUGUAGGCAAGGCCAGCGUGGAACAGGUUGCCGUAAGGCGAGAAGUCUCCAUCACACUACUGCUGGGUAAUGGAUGCUCUACCUCCCUUGAGCCCAAAGCAGUGGAGUCAGCUGACCCUGAGCUGAAGCUUGGGAAACUGUGAGCCAGUGUGACUCUGCCCUCUUUGAAGUUGUCGGGUCUGACACAGCAACGCGACUGUGACCAGCUGAACGGAACAAGCAUUUUUCAGGCGUUGCACAGACAGUGACAAGCCACCCCCAGUUUUCUGCCUGGAGGAGGUUCUCAGACCUCUGCUGAGUGAUGUGGGAACCACUAUGGCGCACUGGUUGUAGCAGACAGAGGAAACAGAGGCUGGUGUUCGGGGUGCUGAGGUAUCUACCAUUCGUGGCGUAUAGAGAGAAGGAAGCUGUGCAAACAAGAGGCCAGAGCUGUACGCAGGAGUUCCCUGGAGCCACGUGUGACAACAGUAGAAAUUGUCCCCAGAGGGUGGAGAGGUGAUGUGGCACUGUGACAGUGUUCACCUGAGACAGAUGGAGGUCAAAUACUGGCUGCAGCACUGGAAAGGCAAGCCUUGAGAGCAGGGUGACGACGGCCCUAGCUCAGAAGUGCCAAGCAGCCUCCUUUGUUAGCAGGUUCAAAACAGCUUUGCCGGGUAAGGCUUCAGGGCUGGAACAAAUACUACCCUCUGUAUAGAAAAGAUCUCAGGGGACAGGCCCAGAGAGAGGUGACCCAGAUGCUGAAAUUAGAAGAGAAAGGUUUGAAAGGAAGACAGGUGAGCAGCCAUCCGGACCACAGAGAAACAAGGAGUAGACAUGAAGAUGGAUCAAUUUUUAAAGAUACAAGUUUAAGUACAAACUGAAAAACCCAACAAGGCUACAGACAUGCUUCAGCCUUUGUCCAACAGCACGAAGCUGGAUUUGAUCCCCCAGCACAAUAUAAAUCAGGCAUGAUGGGAGCUUGCAUCUGUAAUCCAAGAACUCAGGAUGUGUUUACAGGAGGAUCAGAUGUUCAAGGUCAUCCUCAGCUACAGACUGAAUUUGAGGCCAUCCUGGGAUACAUGAGACCCCGUCUUUAAAGCCAGAACGACAGAAAUCCUCUACCUGCAGUACAGUUUCAAGCGGUGUAGAGAGAAACAGGUGCCUCCCAGACAGAGGCACACGGUAAGGAAUCCUGAUGACUGCUCAUCAGAAGCGAGGUGAGCCAGAAGGCAGCAGGAGGGUGUCUUUAAAAUGUUGAAACAAACCUAUAAACAAAGAAAAACGAAACACCCUUGGAGAAUUAAGCCAAAAUAAAGUAUUUCCCGGAAAACAGAAUCCGAGGAAGUCCAUCCUAGCAGAUGUGUGGAGAAGUCCUUCAGGACAGAGAGAAGAUCUGGAGAGGCUCAGAUCAACCCAGAAAGGGAGCCCUGGGGAAUUUGGAAUGUGGUAACACAAAGUCCUCUUCGGAGGACAACAGAGUGGAAAUAAUGGCGUCUGGGGGGAGGGGAGAAUAGUAUUUUCAGAAGGAAUGUGCGACUUCAACACAAACAGCAGGGUAGAGGCGCUGUGAUAACGUUCCCUCUCGCAGCCUCAGAUCAAUUCAGUAAGGUGUGAUCAGAACUCACAGCAAGGACAUCAGAAUCCUGAGAGCAGCCGCCAAAACCACGAGAAGACCUGAGGAGCCAGGACCUUCAGCGCAGGGCCCCGAACUCGACAGAGCGCAGUAGUCUCUGAUGCAGACAUUCCGCUGUUGCUGCAACCACUAUUUUGCUUUCUGACUGUUCUCAAACUUGAGCUGGAAGCAUACAAUAUAAAUAAAAUUUCUGGCAGAACCAGUCCUGGUCCACGGGGGCCUUGACACCUGUUGGCCUGUCUAAGUUUGGUGUUCUGAGGAUCAUCCAGCUGGAGUGUCCCCAGCUGAGGCUUCUUCUUUAGCCACCUCUGGAGUCUGCACCUGCAGAAGCCUCACCCUGGCUUGGCCUGUCAGCCUGGUUCAGGUAGCCCCAUCCUCCGUGACUGCAGCUAGAAUCAUGACCAGCCUUUCUAAGCUCCAGCCCUGUAGCGCUGAGGCUCAGGACCACGCUAGAGCCACUGUUGCUGAGCAGAGUUAAGAGCAAUGGGAUCCACUGGACACCACACAUGUCCUGCUCUGUCCACUCAGGGGUCCUGUGCUACCUUUGCUUACAGCCUCAACGGGACAUUGGAACAUUGAAGGGGGGCCUUUAUCAGCUUCUUCUAAGGUUAACCCGUGGCUACCCUCUGCCAAGAUGCUGUGUGUGGGAUUCUUGAUCUCUGCUCAUGUGUCACCUGCCUGGAUCCUGGGGACCACAAACAUGCUUAUGAGCUGGUUGGCUACAGGGCCACACUUGCACCAAUCCUAAGCAGACACGUGGGGAAGGCUAAGUUGUGGCCUUCUGUAGCCUGAUUCCUCUCACCUUGGAGGGGGAAACUGCCUGCCUGCCCUGAACAGAGAAGGAUACAGAUGCUAGACCAAGGUCCACCACCCCUAGAUUGCUGAUGCCUUCCCUGGACACAGUGGUGACGGUGUGUAUCCAAGCGCUGUCACAGAGGAAAAGGCAGAGGCUAGGAUUCCCAGCCCGGUUCCCACCUCUGGAAGAAGCAGGAGGCCCCAGCCUACCCCCUCCUCUGAUGUUUGCUGUUUUGUUGUUGUUAAUUCCUCACCAGGUGGAACCGGCACCGUGGGGCUUAAUUAAGCCCAGCCAGCUGUUGCUGAACACGGGAAUGCAUUGCGUGGCAGAGUCAGCCUGGAGCAGCGGAAGAGGGAGGGCUGGGGCCACAGAAUCCCAGGCCAAGAUGGAGUAUGGUCGGAGUUCGGGGAGUAGAAAGCUGGGGCUGCCAGGGGGACUCCGUGGGGAGGUCCAAGCAUGUUCAAUUGCUGCUUUUCCUCCCCUCCCCUUCCCCACGCAUUGAAUGAUCUCAGGUUCUGAGAACCGAGACCCACCCACACUCUCAGAGGACAAAGGGAAACUUCACAGAUGGGAAAGUCCAGGGGAGGUCUUCAGGAUAUACUGCUCAAUACUGGGACAGAAGUUCUGGAAUGAGUGGAAGG